UACAGAGGUCUCAAGCGUUGUUCGGAUUCAUUGGGCGUAAAGGGUGCGUAGGCGGCGCGGUAAGUCGGGUGUGAAAUCUUGGAGCUUAACUCCGAAACUGCAUUCGAUACUGCCGUGCUUGAGCACUGGAGAGGAGACUGGAAUUUACGGUGUAGCGGUGAAAUGCGUAGAUAUCGUAAGGAAGACCAGUGGCGAAGGCGGGUCUCUGGACAGUUCCUGACGCUGAGGCACGAAGGCCAGGGGAGCAAACGGG
rnacentral:rRNA from 1 species